UCCACCUUGUUCAGUCCAGCCACCUAAAAUGUCCCACCUACCUUGGUCCUCUACCCCUUUUAGCUGGAUUCGUACCGAGCCGGUUAUGGGCUGAGUUUACCUGGCCCACUUGAUAAGUUUACAUGUAACAAAUAGGGGUUUGCUGCUUGUAAACCUGAGAAGUUGCCAUUAUUACAGUUUACUUUCAUGUUGGAUAUAUACAACCAAUAUAGUGUUGAUAUGUUAUUAGAAGUAUGUCAUUAAGGCAUCAAGUGUAACGACCCGCUUCGUCGUUACUGUGAAUUCCGAAGAAAACCGCAACUCUAACUCAUUAAAAAGGUCUUCGUCUAGUUAUGUUUCUGGAAAUCGCUAAUUCAAUCGAAAUUGAAGUGUGGGCUGCCACAGCGCCAGUAUUGGUGCUAUAGCGGUGACGCUGUAGCGGUCGAAGAAUCGCCAUAGCGGUAAGAGCAAGUGGCUAGUGAGCCGCCAUGGCGGCCACUCAGCUGCCCUAGCGGCAUCGCUAAAGCGGUCAACGUACCGCUGGGGCGGUCACGUACAAUGAAAUACCUAUUUAAGAUUUCAUUUCGGGAUUUGACCUCAUUUUUCCAAACCCUAAAUAGUCCAGCCGCCUUUGGAGCAAUUAUUGAGCCGAAAAUGAUAUUUCCUUGGGAAAGAUUAUAAAUGAGUCUCCUUAUGAAUCUUGAAAAUGGACCUCUAAAGGAUAGAGCUAAAGAUGGUAACUUUACCUAGGUAAUGGCUUAUCAUAGUUGACUUUAUUCAUGGGAAGAGGUUGACAAACCGCCUAGUGAAGUUAUGAAUGAAAUCUAGAGGUAGGCUAAGUUCCCAAAUUUUCCUUAUUAACCUGAAAUCUCUUAUAAGAAUUCUAAUGAUGAUUAUCAUUCUUGGUCUCAUGUUUUUCUCAAAGUUCCUCCGUGCGGAUUACGACGUGAUGAUAGAAUUGAGGAAUCAACGGAUGUUCGUGGCACCCGCUCGACCUUGAGAUUUUGCGGACGUUGAAGGAGAACGUUAAAUAGUUAAAAAGACGUAAAGGUAUGUUAAGGCUAACCCUUCUUUCUAAAGGCAUGAUUCCUCAUUAUGAAUCCAUCCAUGAUAUCCAUAACGUUCUAAUUCCUAGAAACGCUAGAAGCUCAUGAUUCUCAAAGUUCUUAUGAUUUUGUUGAUCUUGUUCAUCGUCGUUGACCUCAUCUCAUGACAGUUGACCUCUAAGGAAAGAUAUAGGAUGAUGAUGAUGAUGAUGUUGUUGUUACUUAUGUGUAUGUACAUUUAGCCAUUUUAUAGCACCGAGCCUCUAUGACCGGGUAUGAUAUCUAUUGCGCGCACACCACUGCAGUUGGGUACAGAAACACCGAGCCUAUACGGCCGGGUAUGGAUAACACCGAGCCUUGUUAUAGCCGGGUAGACAGACCAGACCCAUAGGCUGCUUUAUCGGUGAUCGCAUAGAGGUGCUCCAUUUGAUCCGGAGCCUCAGUUAGAUGAGUGGUUUCAGGUUGUUGAUUGUGACAUGUUCGGAAAUACGCGGUGCCUAUCUUGAAGGCCUCUUCCCAAUUCAUUCCGGCAUGGAGGAUGAGUCUUAGAAUGUGAUAGUAAUCUGGAUCAUUAGUCGCUCUUAUACUAGUCUAGACUAGGUCGUGGGGAGUCGGAAUGAGUCUAUAAUUAUUUAACUGUUAUAAUCGUUUUCAACCUUGAGUUAUUAAAUGAAUUGAUUUCUGCUGUUAAUUGUACUUAAUUAUCUGAUUAGUCAAAUUGUCUUUAUUGAUUGAAGUAUUAUUGAAUUGAGGGUUCGCCUACCGAGAAAGGACAGAUAGGUGCCCGCGCGAUCCUAAAUUGGAUCGUGACAUUAAGUAGGUAGUUAUCACUGAAAAUGUUCCAGAUUACUUAACACAACCGGUAGUUCAUUUCCUUUUUAACAAUGAACUCAAAAGUUUAAUUGUUUCUUUUUACUUCUAUUUUUAUUUUUUAAUAAAACCUUUUAUUCAAAUUAGUUUGCCUCAAUAUGUUGGAGUACCUCUUUUGAUUGUUUCUUUUUACUUCUAUUUUUAUUUUUUAAGAAAACCUUUUAUUCAAAUUAGUUUGCCUCAAUAUGUUGGAGUACCUCUUUUGAUUCUCUAUA